UGAAAUCUGGUGAGAUCAGGAUAGGU
rnacentral:piRNA from 1 species